rnacentral:rRNA from 1 species
UGCAGUCGAGCGGAACGAGUUAUCUGAACCUUCGGGGACGAUAACGGCGUCGAGCGGCGGACGGGUGAGUAAUGCCUGGGAAAUUGCCCUGAUGUGGGGGAUAACCAUUGGAAACGAUGGCUAAUACCGCAUAAUAGCUUCGGCUCAAAGAGGGGGACCUUCGGGCCUCUCGCGUCAGGAUAUGCCCAGGUGGGAUUAGCUAGUUGGUGAGGUAAGGGCUCACCAAGGCGACGAUCCCUAGCUGGUCUGAGAGGAUGAUCAGCCACACUGGAACUGAGACCGGUCCAGACUCCUACGGGAGGAGCAGUGGGGAAUAUUGCCAAUGGGCGCA